CCUACGGGAGGCAGCAGUAGGGAAUCUUUCACAAUGGGCGAAAGCCUGAUGGCGCAACGCCGCGUGCAGGAUGAAGGCCUUCUGGUUGUAAACUGCUUUUAUAAGCGAGAAAUAUGAUGGUCACUUAUGAAUAAGGAUCGGCUAACUACGUGCCAGCAGCCGCGUUCAUACGUAGGAUACGAGCAUUAUCCGGAGUGACUUGGUGUAAAGAGUUGCGUAGGUGGCGUAAUAAGUAGCUAGUGAAAUCUGGUGGCUCAACCAUUCAGACUAUUAGCUAAACUGUUAAGCUCGAGACCGUUAGGGGUAACUGGAAUUUCUAGUGUAGGAGUGAAAUCCGUAGAUAUUAGAAAGAACACCGAUAGCGUAGGCAGGUUACUGGGACGGUUCUGACACUAAGGCACGAAAGCGUAGGGAGCAAACGGGAUUAGAUACCCGAGUAGUC
rnacentral:rRNA from 1 species